UAUAUACUCCCUCCGUCCCANAAUUCUUGUCUUAGAUUUGUCUAUAUAUGAAUGUAUCUAGUCACAUUUAAGUAUGUAGAUACAUACAUUUCUAGACAAACUUAAGACAAUAAUUUUGGGACGGAGGGAGUAUGAC
rfam:Hordeum vulgare subsp. vulgare, WGS project CAJW01000000 data, contig: morex_contig_38773